GCAGUGGUGGUUCAGUGGUAGAACUCUCAUCUUCCAUGUGGGAGACUCGGGUUUAAUUUCCAGCCAAAGCA
rfam:Loxodonta africana unplaced genomic scaffold scaffold_17, whole genome shotgun sequence.